rnacentral:lncRNA from 1 species
UGGUUUUUUUUUUUUUUAAAUAAUUUUAUUUGUUUGUUUUUGGCUGUGCUGGGUCUUUGUUGCUACAUGGGCUUUCUCUAGUUGCCGCGAACAGGGUCUGUUCUCUAGUUGCGGUGAGCGGGCUUCUCACUGCAGUGGCUCCCCUUGUUGCAGAACACAGGCUCUAGGGCACAGGAGGGCUUCAGCGGUUUGCUCUGCGGCAUGUGGGAUCUUCCCAGACCAGGGAUCGAACCUGAGUCUCCUGCACUGGCAGGUGGAUUCUUUACCUCUGAGCCUCUAGGGAAGCCUCUCAAAUGAGGGGAGUGAUACCUUUAGGGGUGCUAUUUCCCUCUGUGCUCAGUCAUUGUAGAGGCUAGCCCUACUCCCCACCCACCACUUUCAUCUUUUCAGUUAGAUGUGUUUUCUUUUAUGAAAUGGUAGGAAGUUGGAGUGGAGGUCAGAGGGUCUUCCUUAGAGCAUUGCAGUAGCCUGGAGGGUGUCUUGCCCAUACAAAAAGGCUCAAAGGAUGUUGCUUAACAAAACAGCCUUUCAAAGAAUAUCCAGAGCCAGAGCAAGGUCCAGACUCCCUGGGGCUGUUUUGGCAUUUCAGCUGCCAUGUCAGAAGAGUGCCCUUGUGGUGCAUAGGGGUCAGUUUUCCUGAAAAACCUGUUCUGGGGACAGAGUCCACCCCAGGGGAGUAGGGAGCUAGGCAGCCAUCCCAGAGUGAGACCCCAUUAAUCUUUGCUCAGCUGAUUGGAAGGGAGCUGAAUAAUCAUUUAUGUGCUCAUUGCGACAGGCACCUGGGCUCCAGGUUGAGACAAGUGGCCUCAGGUAGCCUCGAUAUUAAUGCGGCUCAUUAUGUAGAUUGCUUCACUGGGAGAUGGGAGAUACGCUGCGGCCUUGGGAGUCCCUGCGGGGAAGGCAGGCUUUGUGGGACCCAGCCCUUGGCGCGCUCAUCGAUGCUCUGUCUGGGAAAACCGGGGUGUCCGCGCCAGUUCCUGGAGUGGCUGAUCCUCAUAGCUGCUUUCCCUGUGACAGUCUGCCUCUCCAGGACGAUCCUGGUGUGGCCGCUCACAGAGAGACGGGCCCUCUGGGAAGGAGAAGCUCCGGAGCCAGGUCACUGAUUCCAGCUUGUUGCCGGUGAAAGGCUUCAUGUUUCC